rnacentral:rRNA from 1 species
AGGGACGAACGCUGGCGGCGUGCUUAACACAUGCAAGUCGAGCGGAAAGGCCCUUCGGGGUACUCGAGCGGCGAACGGGUGAGUAACACGUGAGUAAUCUGCCCAUCGCUUCAGGAUAGCCAUCGGAAACGGUGAUUAAUACUGGAUAUGACAUUCCUUCGC